rnacentral:rRNA from 1 species
UCUUCCAAACACCUGUGCACAUUUUUGAGGGAGUCUUGAGUUGGUUGCCGCUCUUGGGUGAUUUUCUCACAUUCCCUUAAAUCAUUA